GUGCUUGAUUUGGCAGCACAUAUACUAACAGUGGGGUGACACAGGAAGAUUGGCAUGGGUCCUGUAGAAGGCUGACACAUGAAUUCCUGAAGCAUUCCAUAUUUUA
rnacentral:snRNA from 1 species